rnacentral:lncRNA from 1 species
AGGUAAUCUUAAAGAAAUAUUGCCCCUUGAUUACACCUAAUCACGCAAUAAAAGUAUGAUUCCACUUUGCAGAGAUGUUUGGUUUCCUUAGGUCUUUUAUGCCACGCCAAGAAUAAAGCUUAAUUAAAGUUUCAUUCACUAAUGGUUUAUCGUAAAAACUAUACUCAAGACAAAAAAAAAACGUGUUGAACCUGUAGUUUUCUGAGAAGAGAACAUGUAAGUAAUAUUUUUAUCUGUAUUUCUUUGCCGACGGUGUUCUGGACUGGGUAAUCUGUAUGGAGGUUAGAGUGUGUCCUUGUGUCUUUCUUAAAAACUUUGAGCCUAUGAAGUGUCACGCCAUCUUUGAAUGAUCACUCAUUUAAUGAAGCCAGUUUAAAGCCAUGAAAUGGCUUACGAGCUCCUACGUGUUAUGUAACAUUUCCAGUGGUUACUGUAGCAACAUUUUGUCCUGUACAGCAUUUCAGUUCCAUGUGAAGUAAUCUGUAUUGUUAUACGAUGCUUUGUCCCAUAGUGAUAGCCAUAAAGCAUGCUUAAGGGUUUCAAACACUGACUCCCCACUCCCUUUUGUCCUACCUGAAAGGCACCUACCAAACCCAUUUUCUCCUUUCAUUUAAGAUUAAAGGGGGACAGAUGCUCUGAGGAGGUUCGUCAGCUGUGCAACAACGACCCCUAGAGGCGCCACUGCCUCGAAGGCGGCCAGAACCUCCGAAAGCUCAAUGCGCUUUAUUUUCCUUAUCCUGAGAGCUACCACAGCGUUAAUCAAGAACCGCUUUUACUUUGAGAACAUGCGCUGUUUUUGAUGCCCAGAAACGAAAGUCCAAAUUUGUGGGAGCUUUACUAUCUACCUAUUUAUGGCACAUAAGUCUUUGCUUUCUUUUUGUGCCAUUUAAAGGAAUCCUGGACGAGUUGCUUUCUAUUCAUCAGCAAAUCAGCAUAUAACAAACUUUUGCAAGCCAUUGAGGUGCCAUUUAGACAUAUAGUAACAGGGAAUCUGGAUCAUGGGCAUACUGAGAAAACUGGAAGGCUUCCAGAACGAGAAAGAUUCAAGAUCCAAGCUGGGACUGCGGAACUAGUUUGCUGUGGGCUUCGGUGAGCAAGGAUAAUCAAGUACAUGGUGGGCAUAGAUAGGCCGUGGA